rnacentral:ncRNA from 1 species
GAUUUCUGCCCAGUGCUCUGAGUGUCAAAGUGAAGAAAUUCAAUGAAGCAUGGGUAAAUGGUGGGAGUAACUAUGAAUCUCUUAAGGUAGCCAAAUGAAGGAG